AUGCUUCAGCAGUACAUAUACUAAAAUUGGAACGAUACAGAGAAGAUUAGCAUGGCUCCUAGUAAGGGAGCCAGCAUGGUGUAGUGAUUAAGAGUGAUAGUCU
ensembl:snRNA U6 U6 spliceosomal RNA